AGUGUGGCAGAGAGGAAAGGGAACUCGAUCGGUGCGGUGUCGGAGCUCCUCGCGUGGGGCACAGGUGCCGAUGUUAAUGCUGUGUACCGGAGGCGGUAAAGUAGAGGCACACGGUGUAAUACUGGCUGCCAGAAACCCUGUUGUCACAGCUGUGCUGGUGUGGCAUGACACAGCAGAAACUGCCAGUGACCGUGUCCACAUACUGGACAUAGAGACCACCGCUGUGAACCACCUUGUCCAUUACGUGUCUGUGGUACAACUAUUGGCAGCUGCAGACAAAUAUGACCUCCGUCUCCUUAAGGAGCCUCGUAAAGACAGUACUUGGUUGUAAUGGCCAACAAACUAGCAAAUGUCUGAAUGAUGGAUUUAAUGAAAGCAGAUGACUCUCUGGAUGCGUGGAGGAUGAAAGACUGGUGAGAAGGGGUGGCUAGCUGCCCACAGGUUGUGGCAGAGGUGUUACAGUUAGUGGAAACAAAAAUCAGG